rnacentral:rRNA from 1 species
AACGAACGCUGGCGGCAGGCCUAACACAUGCAAGUCGAGCGAGGACUUCGGUUCUAGCGGCGGACGGGUGAGUAACGCGUGGGAAUGUGCCCUUCUCUACGGAAUAGCCCUGGGAAACUGGGAGUAAUACCGUAUACGCCCUAUUGGGGAAAGAUUUAUCGGAGAAGGAUCAGCCCGCGUUGGAUUAGGUAGUUGGUGGGGUAAUGGCCUACCAAGCCGACGAUCCAUAGCUGGUUUGAGAGGAUGAUCAGCCACACUGGGACUGAGACACGGCCCAGACUCCUACGGGAGGCAGCAGUGGGGAAUCUUAGACAAUGGGGGCAACCCUGAUCUAGCCAUGCCGCGUGAGUGAUGAAGGCCUUAGGGUUGUAAAGCUCUUUCAGCUGGGAAGAUAAUGACGGUACCAGCAGAAGAAGCCUCGGCUAACUCCGUG